UACGGGGGGGGCAAGCGUUGUUCGGAAUUACUGGGCGUAAAGGGCUCGUAGGCGGCCAACUAAGUCGGAUGUGAAAUCCCCAGGCUCAACCUGGGAACUGCAUCCGAUACUGGAUGGCUUGAAUCCGGGAGAGGGAUGCAGAAUUCCAGGUGUAGCGGUGAAAUGCGUAGAUAUCUGGAGGAAUACCGGUGGCGAAGGCGGCAUCCUGGACCGGCAUUGACGCUGAGGAGCGAAAGCUAGGGGAGCAAGCAGG
rnacentral:rRNA from 1 species